rnacentral:rRNA from 1 species
AACGUACGCUGGCGGCACGCCUAACACAUGCAAGUCGAACGAAGUAGCAAUACUUAGUGGCAGACGGGUGAGUAACAUGUGGGUAUCUACCCUUUGGCCUGGAAUAACACGAGGAAACUUGUGCUAAUACCGGAUAAGUCUUUACGGAGAAAGCUUUAUGCACCAUUGGAUGAGCCCGCACUUGAUUAGUUUGUUGGUAGGGUAAUGGCCUACCAAGACUAUGAUCAAUAGCUGAUUUGAGAGGAUGAUCAGCCACAUUGGGACUGAGACACGGCCCAAACUCCUACGGGAGGCAGCAGUGGGGAAUCUUGCCCAAUGGAGGAAACUCUGAUGCAGCGAUGCCGCGUGAGUGAAGAAGGCCUUUGGGUUGUAAAGCUCUUUCGUCGGGGAAGAAAAUGACUGUACCCGAAUAAGAAGGUCCGGCUAACUUCGUGCCAGCAGCCGCGGUAAUACGAAGGGACCUAGCGUAGUUCGGAAUUACUGGGCUUAAAGAGUUCGUAGGUGGUUGAAAAAGUUGGUGGUGAAAUCCCAGAGCUUAACUCUGGAACUGCCAUCAAAACUUUUCAGCUAGAGUAUGAUAGAGGAAAGCAGAAUUUCUAGUGUAGAGGUGAAAUUCGUAGAUAUUAGAAAGAAUACCAAUUGCGAAGGCAGCUCUCUGGAUCAUUACUGACACU